UAGGGAAUCUUCCACAAUGGACGAAAGUCUGAUGGAGCAACGCCGCGUGAGUGAUGAAGGGUUUCGGCUCGUAAAACUCUGUUGUUGGAGAAGAACGGGUGUCAGAGUAACUGUUGACAUCGUGACGGUAUCCAACCAGAAAGCCACGGCUAACUACGUGCCAGCAGCCGCGGUAAUACGUAGGUGGCAAGCGUCGUCCGGAUUUAUUGGGCGUAAAGCGAGCGCAGGCGGUUUUUUAGGUCUGAUGUGAAAGCCUUCGGCUUAACCGGAGAAGUGCAUCGGAAACCGGGAGACUUGAGUGCAGAAGAGGACAGUGGAACUCCAUGUGUAGCGGUGAAAUGCGUAGAUAUAUGGAAGAACACCAGUGGCGAAGGCGGCUGUCUGGUCUGCAACUGACGCUGAGGCUCGAAAGCAUGGGUAGCGAACAGGAUUAGAUACCCUGGUAGUCCAUGC
rnacentral:rRNA from 1 species